UAGGAGGUCACUGAGGUGGGGGGGACCCAAAAAAGGGUUGACACGUGGCCACCAUGCCCGAUAGAUAUCAUGUGGAUCUUAGUAGGAUUAGGUCCUCAAUUGUACGAACAAGUUCACUAUCUCUUAGAGGAUCUAUUUGAUCUCAUCCAUCUAAUAAUAAUACUAUAUUACAGUCUGUACAUAAUGUAUAGAGAGGAGGAAGCACAUGGGAAUGGGGCUUUGAAGAUGGAGAUAUUCAUGUGACCCGCACAUGUCCUCUCCUCUCUCUUCCUUGUUCCCAUGCAAGUAGUGUCUCACUGUAUCCUUCUUCUUUUCCUUCCUUAUCUCCACGCGCGUGGUCGUUUUCAUUUCGUCCGUACUACGUAAUUACGACAAAACUUACUCUUAUACCAUCAGGCAUUAGUCCAUUACCAGGCACCACCCGAAUGGCCUAUAAGCAUAAGUGCAUAACUAUAGGGUUUGUCGUCGUCUACUUG